rnacentral:rRNA from 1 species
AUGGGGCAGCUCUGGGCGGUGUUCCUGGCCGUGAGGUCGCUCUCCAUCGGCCUGCUCGGGGUGCUCGGAGUCUGGCUCUGCUACCUGUUCCAGGCCGAGGCGCUGGGCCCGCCUCCUGCCCCGCCGCCCGAGACGCCGGACACGAGCGACAACGGCAACGGUGACGACAAGAAUGGGCUAUCGGAGGUAGAGCUGAGGCGGCUUGGCGGGGUCGUCCAGGCGGAGGUCGCAGCUUACGACGAGGAGGAGGCGCUCUGCCCCAUUCGCCUCGAUGCCAUGGAGCCGGGCCGCGCCCUGCGCGUCCUCCCGGCUACAACCGUGCCUUCCACAGGAGUGCGUCGAUCGGUGGCUGGCCAUCUCGCUGCACUGCCCCGUGUGCAACAUCCGGGCCACGCCGCAGGCCUCGCCGACGGUGGCCAAGACUGCUACGGGUGCUGA